AAGUAAUAUAAAUCAAAAGGCUGAUAUAGUGACUACAUUUGCGUGUUAUAAUUUUUAAAUUCGGUCCACUCACUUAGACAUUAUAAGCAAAUAUAUCGUGGUAGAAAAGGAAAGCACAGCCCAUUAGAGUAACCGGAGUGGCCAAAAAAGGUGAAGAGAAUUUGAGGCCCAUGGAGGCAGCUGCCGAAUUUAUAUUCAUACAAUCAGCUGGAUUGAAACCACGUUUGCACAAGGUUUCAAGUCACACAUCAAAGGUAAUACAAAAGUAAUAUGCGUAAUUUUCGGUCGUUUACACAUGCAUUUAUCGUAUGAAACGAAUUUAGUGGUAGUGAAAGUAACCAAAAUAGAAACUUUGCAUUUAAUUUAAUAUAACAAAGUUAAAUAAAUACUGAUCAAAAUGAAAAGUCGUGAAAAGAAAAAAUAAAAAUUAAUAUUAUAUAUGUGAAAAAAAUAAGUGACAAAUGUGCCAGUGAGUAGUGCCCAGUGAGAAAUCGUCGCGCAAAAAAAAUUUCAGGUCGGGCUUUAGAUUAAUUACACAAGUGUUAAGUGGUAAUUUGUUGGCAUUUCGGUGUUGCGUAUAAAAAAAAAGUCCACAUGUACGCGUUACCAGUGACGGCAAUUUAGUGGAUGGACCACCCACAAGUAAUCCUUGGACCACGGCAAAGAAGGAGCGCCAUCAGAAAUUACGUAUGGAGCUCGCAUUUGGAUCAUCAUGGAGCGAGGGCGAAAUAUGGUAUAAUAUUUUAAUUAAAUUUUUAUUUAUAUUAAAGUUUAGCAAGAAUUAUCAAUAUCAAUUUGGAAACAAUCAUCUGCCGUAAAAUCAUGGAAUUGCACCAUCAGAAGCAUCAUCAACAUAUGUGCACAACUUGAAUGCUGCCAAGGCGCAGUUUGCUGAAGCACAGAAAAGCUGAUGUGACUACGACCAUCCCAUGUUGAAGCUAUCUGGGAUGCCGCCAGCUGGAAGGAUAUCUUUAAUCACCUCGUUGCCGCUGCUAAGAGAUGUUUGAGUCAUCCAAGCUUUAAUUGACCUAGAGAAAAAUUCGAAUUUGUGGGACGAAUGUUGGGCAAAGCGGUGCUUACUCGUAAAGGAUAAAAUGAAGGAGCUAGAAGUGCAUUCGGUGGUAGAAAUCAACAUUAGGGCGGCACAAAAGGCGGUCGCCCAUGCAUGCGCGAUUCGUAGGAGAAAUUCGCGUGUGCUAUCUAACUUAGAGUAUUGAGAGUAUGACACAUCGCAUCAUCAAACUAAACAACUACAACCAAAACGCGCCGAAAAGAUUCCUUAAAUGAAAACUUUGACAUUGUUAAAAUAGUUGACGAUUUUGAAGUAGUUUAAAAUUUAUUGCCGGAAAAAAUGUAAAAGAAAUAUUUGCUUUC